rnacentral:rRNA from 1 species
GAUGAACGCUAGCGGCAGGCUUAACAACAUGCAAGUCGAGGGGUAUAGUUCUUCGGAACUAGAGACCGGCGCACGGGUGCGUAACGCGUAUGCAAUCUACCUUAUACAGGGGAAUAGCCCAGAGAAAUUUGGAUUAAUGCCCCAUAGUGUUAUCGAAUCGCAUGGUUUGAUAACUAAAGUUCCAACGGUAUAAGAUGAGCAUGCGUCCCAUUAGUUAGUUGGUAAGGUAACGGCUUACCAAGACAAUGAUGGGUAGGGGUCCUGAGAGGGAGAUCCCCCACACUGGUACUGAGACACGGACCAGACUCCUACGGGAGGCAGCAGUGAGGAAUAUUGGACAAUGGGCGCAAGCCUGAUCCAGCCAUGCCGCGUGCAGGAUGACGGUCCUAUGGAUUGUAAACUGCUUUUGUACAGGAAGAAACACUCCCUCGUGAGGGAGCUUGACGGUACUGUAAGAAUAAGGAUUCGGCUAACUCCGUGCCAGCAGCCGACGG